GAUGAACGCUGGCGGCGUGCCUAAUACAUGCAAGUCGAGCGAACACAUGAUGAGCUUUCUCCCCUGACGUUAGCGGCGGACGGGCGAGUAAGACGUGGAUCACCAUCUUAUAAGUCUGGGAUAAUUUCGUGAAACAGGAGCCAAUAACGCCUCAUAUAUUGAACCGCAUGGAUCAAUAGUGCAACACGGUUUUCCUGUCACAUAUAGAUGGAUUCGCGUCGCCUUAGCUAGUUGGUAAGGUAACGGCUUACCAAGGCAACGUUGCGUAUCCGACCUGAGAGGGUGAACCGCCACCAUGGAACUUGGACACGGUCCAGACUCCUACGGGAGGCAGCAGUAGGGAAUCUUCGGCAAUGGGCGAAAGCCUGACGGAGCAACGCCGCGUGAGUGAUGAAGGUCUUCGGAUUGUAAAGCUCUUUUAUUAGGGAAGAAAAAAUGUAUAAUAAACUAUGCACGUCUUGACGGUACCUAAUCAAUAAGCCACGGCUAACUACGUG
rnacentral:rRNA from 1 species